rnacentral:SRP_RNA from 1 species
GCUGGGUGUGGUGGUGUACGCCUGUAGUCCCAGCUACUCAGGAGGCUGAGGCAGGAGAAUCGCUUGAACCCAGGACGCUGAGGUUGCAGUGAGCCGAGAUCCCGCCACUGCACUCCAGCCUGGGCGACAGAGCAAGACUCUGCCUCAA